rnacentral:rRNA from 1 species
UACGUAGGGGGGCAAGCGUUGUCCGGAAUUAUUGGGCGUAAAGAGCUCGUAGGCGGUUUGUCGCGUCUGCUGUGAAAACGCGAGGCUCAACCUCGCGCCUGCAGUGGGUACGGGCAGACUAGAGUGCGGUAGGGGAGAUUGGAAUUCCUGGUGUAGCGGUGGAAUGCGCAGAUAUCAGGAGGAACACCGAUGGCGAAGGCAGAUCUCUGGGCCGUAACUGACGC